GAAGAGAUGGAGGUAGAAAAACAAUGUAUUCUUAAUCUAUCAUGUUGUUGUCUAUUCUUUUUCAAAAAGUUAAUUUUUGUCUAAAUUUUGAUUGGUUUGAGUAAUAUGCUCUUUUAGCGAACACUAGUUUAUGUAUAUCAUGUACAUAAGAGUUAAAUAGAGCUGCUGCAGCAAAUGUUAGGAUCGAAAUGAAAAUAUUUUCAGUUUUGGUUAAGAAAUAGCUACUUAGGAAUAGUAAUUGGAUUUUUAUUGUGUAUGAAGAAAAGUACAGCACUUGUUUCAUCCAAUUUGCAUGUCAGCUCAAAAAAAUUGCAGAUAAACUAACACUUGAUUUGUAAUAGUAAUGCAUUUAUUUUCUUUGUCUGCUUCAUUUUGAUGUAUUACAUCCCUGCAGAUGUCGCAGGGAAGAGCGAGGAGGGUCGUGCAUUGUAGCCGGUGUAAUCAGUCGCGGGGAAGAGCCGGUGUAAUCAGUUAGAACUACUUGUGCAGCUCCUUUAUGAAACAAGGUUUCUCUGCAAUAAUGAGAAAAGUUUAGAUUCAUCAUAUAGUCUGUGUUCUUUCUUUUUUAGCUUGUAGAGAGUUUUGAAUUAUAGUGAAUAUUGUGAUGGGUUCUUGUA